CACUCUUCUUCAGUCUUCUCCUCACAAGCAGGGCAAGUGCCAAGGCUUUCUUUUGGUUCAAAGACAGAAACAUCUUCGCCACCAAAUCG